AGCAGCCGCGGUAAUUCCAGCUCCAAUAGCGUAUAUUAAAGUUGUUGCAGUUAAAAAGCUCGUAGUUGAAUUUCGGGGUUAGUAGGUUGGUCAUGCCUCUGGUAUGUACUGGCCUUACUGAUUCCUCCUUCCUGAUGAACCGUAAUGCCAUUAAUUUGGUGUUGCGGGGAAUUUGGACUGUUACUUUGAAAAAAUUAGAGUGUUUAAAGCAAGCUAACGCUUGAAUACAUUAGCAUGGAAUAAUGAAAUAGGACGUUCGAUCCUAUUUUGUUGGUUUU
rnacentral:rRNA from 1 species